GUGCCAUCGACAGUUUCAAAGUUGCAUCUGUUCAUAAAUGGAAUGUUCAUUUGUGGGCGAUGCGGAGGCGUAUGAGAACAAAAAAAGGAUAAAGACAGAACGAAAUAAAAUGAACGAAUCACUGCCAACAUCGCUAACACAAAAUUACAAUCAUUGAGCGAUUUAACUACUUUUAGUGGCUACUUUGAUUUCAAUACAUUUUACCUUAAUAUUGUCGAAAGUAUAAUUCAUUAAGGUACUUAUACCCCUUCAAUGGAUUUUUGUACAAUUUACAUGAAAUAAUAUGAAUUUUGGCAUUUUCUGAAUUGCAUUGACUGGGGAAACUAAU